rnacentral:rRNA from 1 species
UGGCCGAGCAAGUUCGUCGGGAAAUCCACCAGCCCAACUGGUGGACGUCCGGCGAAAACUGUUCGGCUUGGAGCCGGAAGACCCAAGGGGUACGUCCGGGGUAGGAGUGAAAUCCUGUAAUCCCGGACGGACCGCCGAUGGCGAAAGCACCUUGGGAAGACGGACUCGACAGUGAGGGACGAAAGCUGGGGUCUCGAACCGGAUUAGAUACCCGGGUAGUCCCAGCCGUAAACGAUGCCUGCUAGGUGUGGCACUGGCUACGAGCCAGUGCUGUGCCGUAGGGAAGCCGUGAAGCAGGCCGCCUGGGAA